rnacentral:rRNA from 1 species
UCCAUUAGCUUGUUGGUGAGGUAACGGCUCACCAAGGCAACGAUGGAUAGGGGAACUGAGAGGUUGAUCCCCCACACUGGAACUGAGACACGGUCCAGACUCCUACGGGAGGCAGCAGUGAGGAAUAUUGGUCAAUGGACGAGAGUCUGAACCAGCCAAGUCGCGUGAAGGAAGACGGCCCUACGGGUUGUAAACUUCUUUUGUAAGGGAAUAAAAAGUCUUACGGGAUAAGACGUUGCAGGUACCUUACGAAUAAGGAUCGGCUAACUCCGUGCCAGCAGCCGCGGUAAUACGGAGGAUCCGAGCGUUAUCCGGAUUUAUUGGGUUUAAAGGGUGCGCAGGCGGCAUGUUAAGUCGGCGGUGAAAUUUUGCAGCUCAACUGUAAAAGAGCCUUCGAAACUGGCAAGCUUGAGUGUGGAUGAAGUAGGCGGAAUUUGUGGUGUAGCGGUGAAAUGCAUAGAUAUCACAAAGAACACCGAUUGCGCAGGCAGCUUACUAAACCAUAACUGACGCUCAUGCACGAAGGCGUGGGGAUCAAACAGGAUUAGAUACCCUGGUAGUCCACGCAGUAAACGAUGAUUACUGGCUGUUUGCGAUACAAUGUAAGCGGCUGAGCGAAAGCGUUAAGUA